UACGGAGGAUGCAAGCGUUAUCCGGAAUGAUUGGGCGUAAAGCGUCCGCAGGUGGCUAUGUAAGUCUGCUGUUAAAGAGUCUGGCUCAACCAGAUAAAGGCAGUGGAAACUACAUGGCUAGAGUGCGUUCGGGGCAGAGGGAAUUCCUGGUGUAGCGGUGAAAUGCGUAGAGAUCAGGAAGAACACCGGUGGCGAAAGCGCUCUGCUAGGCCGCAACUGACACUGAGGCGGCGAAAGCCAGGGGAGCGAACGGG
rnacentral:rRNA from 1 species